UACGUAGGCAGCGAGCGUUGUUCGGAAUUACUGGGCGGAAAGAGUGUGUAGGCGGUGUUCCCAGUCUGUUGUGAAAUCUCCCGGCUUAACUGGGAGGGUGCAGCGGAAACUAGAAUGCUAGAGGGUGGGAGAGGUAAGCGGAAUUCCUGGUGUAGCGGUGAAAUGCGUAGAUAUCGGGAGGAACACCAGUGGCGAAGGCGACUUCCUGGCCUGUUCUUGACGCUGAGGCGCGAAAGCUAGGGGAGCAAACGGG
rnacentral:rRNA from 1 species